GGUGGUUCUUGAUAAGCUGCGUCGGUAGCAUCAGGAUAACUCGUAUAGCCCGCUCCACCGACUGGAUCCGCUUCAUAACUUGGGGCAAAAGCUGCGUCGGUUCCCUGCUUGAAUCUUUGAAACGCGAACCAGGCACAUCCACCCUGCAUUGAUGAUAAAAAAACAACGAUUAAGUCGCGAUACGAUCACAGCUUACCCAUGUAAAUAUUGAGAAGAAGCAGAAUGCAAUGGCGGCUUGAACAUUGUUUACGCCAUAUCCCUUCUCAGGAGUUUCUGAACUGCCCCAGGCAUUGGCCAGGUAACAAAAUCCAACGAAAUAUAGAAAAGCCCAGAGUCCAGAAAUACUGCAACACAUUGGAAUCGAAUAAUUCACAGAUAUUCAAAUGCUUCUGAUCAAUACAAGUGAUGGUGAUGAUUAGGCAAUGCUUACCCAAGAUCUAAGAGAACGUAAUGCUUGCGUGUCUUGACAGAUGACAUCUGUUCAAACAAGUAUUCUCCAGCAAGAAAUCCGAUACUUCCCAAGAAUGCCAGAACUCCAAUCCCAACGCCAUAAUUGCAGGCGUUUGUGUCUCCA